UUUCCCGUAGCUUACCGAGCGGUGCGUGGAGCGUCUAGUCUUAUUUGUAAUCAGUAGGUCCGCGGUUCGAGUCCGUGUGGGGGCACCA
rnacentral:tRNA from 1 species